rnacentral:rRNA from 1 species
UGUAGCUUAACUGUGGGAAUUGCUGGUGAUACUGUUGAACUUGAGGUCGGGAGAGGUUAGCGGUACUCCCAGGGUAGAGGUGAAAUUCUGUAAUCCUGGGAGGACCACCUGUGGCGAAGGCGGCUAACUGGAACGAACCUGACGGUGAGGGACGAAAGCUAGGGGCGCGAACCGGAUUAGAUACCCGGGUAGUCCUAGCCGUAAACGAUGCGGACUUGGUGUUGGGAUGGCUUUGAGCCGCUCCGGUGCCGAAGGGAAGCUGUUAAGUCCGCCGCCUGGGA